GAUGAACGCUAGCGGCAGGCUUAAUACAUGCAAGUCGAGGGACAGCACAGGUAGCAAUACUGGGUGGUAACCGGCAAACGGGUGCGGAACACGUACACAACCUUCCUUUAAGCGGGGGAUAGCACAGAGAAAUUUGGAUUAAUACCCCGUAAUAUAGUUGAAUGGAAUCAUUUGAUUAUUAUAGCUACGGCGCUUAAUGAUGGGUGUGCGGCUGAUUAGAUAGUUGGCGGGGUAAGGGCCCACCAAGUCUACGAUCAGUAGCGGAUGUGAGAGCAUGAUCAGCCACACGGGCACUGAGACACGGGCCCGACUCCUACGGGAGGCAGCAGUAAGUAAUAUUGGUCAAUGGACGCAAGUCUGAACCAGCCAUGCCGCGUGAAGGAUUAAGGUCCUCUGGAUUGUAAACUUCUUUUAUUUGGGACGAAAAAGGGCCUUUCUAGGUCAACUGACGGUACCAGAUGAAUAAGCACCGGCUAACUCCGUGCCAGCAGCCGCCGUAAGAC
rnacentral:rRNA from 1 species